UACAGGGGGGCAAGCGUUGUUCGGAAUUACUGGGCGUAAAGCGUACGCAGGCGGCUUUGCAAGACAGGUGUGAAAUCCCCGGGCCUAACCUGGGAACUGCAUUUGUGACUGCAUGGCUAGAGUUUGUCAGAGGGGGGUGGAAUUCCACGUGUAGCAGUGAAAUGCGUAGAUAUGUGGAGGAACACCGAUGGCGAAGGCAGCCCCCUGGGAUGUGACUGACGCUCAUGUACGAAAGCGUGGGGAGCAAACAGG
rnacentral:rRNA from 1 species